CCUCGGCUGGGCUGACAGAUCAGAGUGAGAGGCGCUGGCAAUGGACUAGGAAGCUCGGCUGCCGCUGCUACUGCUCCCCCCUGGGCUCCAGCGAGAGCCUUUCCCUGUCAGGCAAGAGGGCCAAGAAGGCAGGGCUGCCGGGGCUGCACAAGAAGAGGCAGCAGCCUCCUACAGCACCACUACAGGCACUGCGAGGACAUAACACCAGAGAGCCGCUCCUCUGCCCUCCGAAACGACAACUUUCCUACCAUCUUGGAGGCAGAGGAAAGGGGGGCGAGGGGGAAAAGUGCACCCGCUCCCGAUAAAGUACAAAUUUCUACUUCUCAUCUUUGGAAAAAAGUCCACACCGGCCGUCUACACCGGCGCCUGGGGGAAAAAGCAGGGAAGAAGCUGGGGGUGCUUGAGAAACGUUUUCAUUUGCAUCAGGGGGAAAAAUGUUUCUGCAUCUUCUGAUGGAAAAAAAUCUUUACAAGACCCAGGUUUUCCGGUGAUUAUUGUUUUUUGUUUUCUAUUUAAUUUUUUCUCUGUUAGUGACAGUGAUGUUUUCGUGGUUUUUUGCACUCAAUGAUUUUUCUCCAUUACAGACCUAAGUUAUGUGUCAGGCGGUCAAUUUAUAAAUUUAUACUUUAAGAGACUUCACAGCCACUUUAUCUUUGUCUAUUUAUAUGUCUGUUUUUGUAUAUAUAGAUAUUUAUGUUUCCUUAUAUUAUGUAUAAAAUUGUGUGUUACACAUUUCUCUCAAAACAGAUUGCUGAAAGACAAUUAUAAAGGGAUGUCUUUUUGUCUCCUUUUCUCAAAACAAUGUAAAUAAAACCUAUUGAUGGCCCAGAAAGACAUGAUACAGCUGUUUAUUUUUCACAGCGCAAAUAAAGGCGCAGAGAUCACUGGGGGAGUAAAAUACAACUUAGGUAUAACUGACCACGUUUCUGGAAAUAAUCCUAAUUCUGUUGUGGUCUGCCCACGAAGAAACGUUACUGUAAAACUGGAAAUAGAUUUUAAGGACAGCUUUCAAUUUUAAGUAAGAUGGCUUAUUAAGAAUUUUCUGUCUGGGCAUUUAAUUUAUUUAGGUUUUUUAAGUUUUAGAUCUUUGGUGCGUUACACAUGUUGCUGUCCACUUCGUUGUGUCACAGAAUUGAGAAAUACGUCGUUUUGUUAGGGUUGAAAUGUGGUUGGUUCAGAACUUCCAGUGUGCUGCCAGCCUGUAAAAAGUACUUUUUAAUAUAUUACAGUGGAUGGCAUUAAUCUUUUUUAAUGAGCAAAUCUUAGUAGAUAAAUGGGAUCAAAGUUACACAGUGCUGAGGUAGCACAGGGGUGAGAAAGGUGCCCACUUGCACCGAUUGCCGUAGAACUCUUACUGAAGGAGAAUAAAUUGCAAGAUAUUUUUAGUUUUUGUGAGAAAGAGAAUACUAGAACAUGACCAGAGGACCUUUUUGUAUGUUCUGCAGGAAUGAUGAAUUGAAUCUUAGGAAAUUAUUUUUCUGAUACAUGUUGGCUAACCUAGUGGGAAUUAAUUUGUAAUACUGGUGCCUUAAAUCAGUAGAAUAUUGAAUUUCUUUCAUUUAAAAUUUAUUACAGAGCAUUUUGAAAAGAACUGAUAACUCCACUUCAAAAUGUUUAUUUUUUGAACUUUCAAAUUUAGAAAUUCCCAUAAUGUUAAAGCAAGUUCAGAUAUUAUAUUUAUUCUGACCCACAUUUUUAUCGUCUGAAUUUGAAUACAGUACUUAAAUAGUGUAGAUUUUCUUUUUGUGGGUUUUUUUUCCUCUUUAGAAAAAAUUAAAGUAAAAUUUAUUCUUACCAUCUUCGAAACUUAAGUUGUGAAGUUAUGUUCUAUUUACAAUUUUUAAAAAACAUUUGGAGAUCAAACAUGCUGGUUAUAACAAGGAAAUUAGUUCCCUUAACGGAGAACUCUACUGGACUUGAAAAACGUGUUUUCGAACUUGUUCCUUAUAUAUGUCAUGACUUUAUAGAUAGGCUUUGAAUUUUUCGAGAAAUUAAGAUGUGCUUGCUCUAAGCUGGCUGCACCCUUUUAUCCAGUCCCUUUUUUGUGACCAACAAACUUAUUUGCAUGACAUGUAUCUAGGGAUAGGGAUGUGGUGCCUAAUCUUAGCAUUUCACUGUCUUCUCUUUAUAAAGCUUGACUUGAACAUGGCUAUAAUCCAUGAUGUUUAUCUACCAGCUGCGCUAAGUAGCCCAGACUUGGGGAAUUAUAGCCCAACCAAGAAAGAAAUCUCAUUAUAUUUGCAAUACUAGUGAAUUUGAUUAGUGUUUAUUUCAGUUGAUAAUUGAACUUAUUUCAGGUGCUAUGUCUAUAAUUCUUAGAAGCUGCAGGUGCUAACAAAACUACUGACAUAAUUAAUCUUAAAUAAUCCUAUGUUUGCCCACUAAAAUUCCCACUGCUCAAAUUUGGCUAACAUUAUUGAGUACAUAAUGCAUCUUGAUAACCUCACUGGACGCUUUUCUGCGUGUGCUCUCACUUAAUUCCCCCCCAGAGCUCUAAAAUUAUUUUUCUUUCUUUUCUCUCUUCCUCCUCCUUUCUCUUUCUUUCUCCUUUUAAAUACAGUUGAGAUAACUGUCUUCACAUUCAGUGAUUGUAAACCUACUUGGCCCUAAAACUUUCCAAUUAGAUUCCAAAUUCUCCUACUGUAGAGUUUCCCAGAAGCCUACUACAGCUCUGUGCUCUCUAUAUAUGGAAAUGCUAACUUCCUGCCAAAUGCCCUUUGCCAAAAACAAACUUGGAGUAGCCAGCAGUUGGAGCUCUCUUCAUUCAUAAGUGGCAACCGGUAGCUUAUUUCACCUUUGCGAAGUCUAACACCUGUCUAUCCAUUGUUUUGAGGAAUACAAAAAAUGUAUUUGUCAAUUGAAAUGCACUAUAAGAGAGACUUCCUGAUCCUGAAAAAAGUAUAUGUUGUUAAGCACGGGCAUAAUUAGAAAUGUUAUCUAUGGUUGUAAAAUUAUGCUAUUUUUAAAAAGAUCUUGUCAGUGGAUGACUAGAUCUUUUUAAAAAUAAUUUUACCUAUGUGAUACUUGAAGCAGUAGUGUUUUUAUUCUGUUAGUAUGCCUUACUUUCUUAAGUAAUUGAUCUGCCUUUUGAUAGUGAUUUUAAUUUUGUAAAAAUUAACCACUUUAUUGUGAAUACUAUAAUGAAGUUAUUAAGAAAAUACCACCUAUAUCCUUAAAAAGUCUCAUUCUAGAUUAUGUAGACUUAAAGGGAAAGAUAUAUGUAUGCAUGUUUAAUAUAUAAGAAGUCUUUAAGCAAUAAAGCCAUUCCUUUACUGGCAAAUAUGUGCUGACAAAACUACCAAGUGUUUAAAAAGACAGUGACAGCAGACAUAGUUGUAUAAAUUUAGUGGGUUUUUUUUUUUUUCUUUUCUUUUUUGGAGGGGUAGGCGUGUGAAUAUAAAUCUUCCCUAAUCAUACAAAUGUUUUUCGAACAUUUCUAAGGCAGGCUCUAAUGUUAUACCAGGAGUCCUUAGCUAGUGUCAAAACUCAAGGAGGUAAAAAGGUAGAAGUGGGGUUAGACAGAUCCUAAAUGUUUUUUAAACCACACUAUUAUGAUGGCUAUAGACACAAAUGUUUUUCACUUUAAGCAUUUUGUUUUAGAAACAUUUGUUGGUAAUGUUUCUAUCUAAAUAUCUAAAACAAAGAUUUUGGUUUUAUUGUGGUUACUGUGCCCUGCAAGGAAGUGUUUCUGCGACAAGCGUUGUGUUUGGCAGACUUCCACAUCAUAGCUUUAGAUUAUUUAAGAAUGAAAUUUCUGUAAUAUAAAUUCAACUAUAGUUAAAACACACAUGAUCAGGUAAUCUCUCAAGUUCUAACACCUAACCAACGGGCACAAAGACCUGGGAACUACUACCUGAUGCCAAAUCAGAAACCAAAAAAAAAUAUUUCUUUUAAAUCCUUGCAAGGGCCAAAAGAUAUCUUCCAGGAACCAGAUGGUCACUGGCAGCAGCAGGGGCAAGACAGGGCCCUGGUGCUGUUUCACUGCCUUCUCAUCAUGCUGCAGGUAGAGAAGGUAAUGUCAUAACCUAAGCCCUAGCAUUCUUGGGCUAUUCUAUUGACUCCUGACCUUAGGCUAAAGAAAAUAACUCUCCGGUUGAAGUCAUAGUUUAAGUAAUGAUCAGAAAAAAUAAACAGCCUAAAAUAGAA